GACGAACGCUGGCGGCGUGCUUAACACAUGCCAGUCGAACGGGCCUUGUCCCCUUUUUUUUGGGGGUGGGGUUAGUGGCGAACGGGUGAGUAACACGUGAGUAACCUGCCCCUCACUUCUGGAUAACCGCUUGAAAGGGUGGCUAAUACGGGGUGUUCUGGCCUGCUCGCAUGGGUGGGUUUGGAAAGAUUUGACCGGUUUUGGUUGGUUUGGUGGGGGAUGGGCUCGCGGCCUAUCAGCUUGUUGGUGGGGUGAUGGCCUGCCAAGGCUUUGACGGGUAGCCGGCCUGAGAGGGUGGGCGGUCACACUGGGACUGAGACACGGCCCAGACUCCUACGGGAGGCAGCAGUGGGGAAUAUUGCACAAUGGGCGCAAGCCUGAUGCAGCGACGCCGCGUGAGGGAUGGAGGCCUUCGGGUUGUGAACCUCUUUCGCCAGUGAAGAAGGUCCUGCUCUUUGUGGUGGGGUUGACGGUAGCUGGGUUAAUGAAGCGCCGGCUAACUACGUG
rnacentral:rRNA from 1 species